UAGGGAAUAUUGCACAAUGGGCGAAAGCCUGAUGCAGCAACGCCGCGUGUGCGAUGAAGGCCUUCGGGUCGUAAAGCACUUUUCUGGGAGAUGAGAAAGGACAGUAUCCCAGGAAUAAGUCUCGGCUAACUACGUGCCAGCAGCCGCGGUAAAACGUAGGAGGCGAGCGUUAUCCGGAUUCACUGGGUGUAAAGCGCGUGCAGGCGGUUCGGUAAGUUGGGCGUGAAAUCUCCUGGCUCAACUAGGAGAGGUCGUCCAAUACUACCGGGCUUGAGAGCGGUAGAGGAAGAUGGAAUUCCCGGUGUAGUGGUGAAAUGCGUAGAUAUCGGGAGGAACACCAGUGGCGAAGGCGAUCUUCUGGACCGUUUCUGACGCUCAGACGCGACAGCUAGGGUAGCAAACGGG
rnacentral:rRNA from 1 species